rnacentral:misc_RNA from 1 species
GAAUUGGCGUCGGCGACGAUGACCGUCGCCUCGCGGUCGGCGCGAGAGCGGAUUUCCUGAGCCUUCUGACCGCCCUGCGCGCGGAACUCGGCCGCUUCACGCUGACGUUCGGUCUGCAUACGCUGAUAGACUGCCUGGCUGUUCUGCUCCGGCAGGUCGGCGCGGCGAAUACGCACAUCGACCACCGAAAUGCCAUAGCUCG